GAGCUGUGAUGAAAAAAACCGUGUGCCAGAGAUGGGAUUACUCAUCGCUGACGGUAAAACACAACCCUCUAAGAAGUUCUGAGCUU
rfam:Capsella rubella cultivar Monte Gargano unplaced genomic scaffold scaffold_4, whole genome shotgun sequence.